rnacentral:rRNA from 1 species
UACGAAGGGAGCUAGCGUUGUUCGGAAUUACUGGGCGUAAAGGGCGCGUAGGCGGCUCUGUAAGUCAGAUGUGAAAGCCCCGGGCUUAACCUGGGAACUGCAUUUGAUACUGCAGAGCUAGAGAAUGUGAGAGGUAAGUGGAAUUAUGAGUGUAGAGGUGAAAUUCGUAGAUAUUCAUAAGAACAUCAGUGGCGAAGGCG